UUGUAAUGAUAAUCUCUGUUUGUAUCUAAUUUUUUUUGUUUAAUAUUCAAUGUUACCAUAAAUUAAUUCAUUUUAAUUAUUAUAUAUAGUUUAUUUUUUGUUCUAUUGAAUUUGUAGUUGUUGAUUAUUUGACAAUUUCUAAUGCUGCAGCGGAUCUGAAAUUCGUGGGAAAAACAAAGUCAUUAAGAUGGUGGAAACUGGAAACAGGAAACAAAGUUUUUGCGAAUGAAUUAAAUGAUUUUAUGUGUAGGAACUGUGGUAGUUGGGAUUUUUGAUUUCUGAGUUUUAGGCAUUUUGUUUUAGCAUUGCUUAUUUGAUUGAUCCAUGGCUCAAUACAUAUGGGUUUAGUGGAUGCAUUUGUCAAUGCUUAUAUAAAUCAUUAGGAGUUUUUAGUUCCUUAGAACUCUUGUAUAGUUCUUGGGGUUCGGGAACUCCUACAUUUUCUUCCCUUGUAUUUUGGAUUAAUUCAACCUAUUAAACGUGCUUAAUUGAACAAGUUUAUGGUUUUUCAUUUUAUAAGUCUUUGUAAGAUUGUGUUUUUGUAGGUAGAAACGAUUUAGCAUUGUUUACUUGAUUGAUCUCUGGCUCAAUACAUGGGUUUAGUGGAUGCCCUUGUCAAUGCUUAUAUAAAUUAUGAGGAGUUUUUAGUUCCUUAGGACUUUUAUAUAGUUCUUGGGGUUCGGGAACUCCUACAAGUU